AUUGAACGCUGGCGGCAGGCCUAACACAUGCAAGUCGAGCGGAUGAAGGGAGCUUGCUCCUGGAUUCAGCGGCGGACGGGUGAGUAAUGCCUAGGAAUCUGCCUGGUCGUGGGGGAUAACGUCCGUAAACGGGCGCUAAUACCGCAUACGUCCUGAGGGAGAAAGUGGGGGAUCUUCGGACCUCACGCUAUCAGAUGAGCCUAGGUCGGAUUAGCUAGUUUGUGGGGUAAAGGCCUACCAAGGCGACGAUCCGUAACUGGUCUGAGAGGAUGAUCAGUCACACUGGAACUGAGACACGGUCCAGACUCCUACGGGAGGCAGCAGUGGGGAAUAUUGGACAAUGGGCGAAAGCCUGAUCCAGCCAUGCCGCGUGUGUGAAGAAGGUCUUCGGAUUGUAAAGCACUUUAAGUUGGGAGGAAGGGCAGUAAGUUAAUACCUUGCUGUUUUGACGUUACCAACAGAAUAAGCACCGGCUAACUUCGUG
rnacentral:rRNA from 1 species